rnacentral:rRNA from 1 species
AUUGAACGCUGGCGGCAGGCCUAACACAUGCAAGUCGAGCGGAGCGGCGGACGAGUGAGUAUUGCCUAGGAAUCUGCCUGGUAGUGGGGGAUAACGUCCGCUAACGGGCGCUAAUACCGCAUACUAUCAGAUGAGCCUAGGUCCGUUUAGCUAGUUGGUGGGGUAAAGGCCUACCAAGGCGACGAUCCGUAUCUGGUCUGAGAGGAUGCUCAGUCACACUGGAACUGAGAAACGGCCAAGACUCCUACGCGAGGCAGCAGGUGGGAAUUUUGGACAAUGGGCGAAAGCCUGAUCCAGCCAUGCCGCGUGUGUGAAGAAGGUCUUCGGAUUGUAAAGCACUUUAAGUUGGGAGGCGGUACCAAAAGAAUAAGCACCGGCUAACUUCGUGCCAGCAGCCGCGGUAAUAG